UACGAAGGGGGCUAGCGUUGCUCGGAAUCACUGGGCGUAACGCGCACGUAGGCGGAUUGUUAAGUCGGGGGUGAAAUCCUGGAGCUCAACUCCAGAACUGCCUUCGAUACUGGCGAUCUUGAGUCCGGGAGAGGUGAGUGGAACUCCGAGUGUAGAGGUGAAAUUCGUAGAUAUUCGGAAGAACACCAGUGGCGAAGGCGGCUCACUGGCCCGGUACUGACGCUGAGGUGCGAAAGCGUGGGGAGCAAACAGG
rnacentral:rRNA from 1 species